GACGAACGCUGGCGGCGUGCUUAACACAUGCAAGUCGAACGGAAAGGCCUGCUUUCCCUUGUGGAUUGCGGGUACUCGAGUGGCGAACGGGUGAGUAACACGUGAGUGAUCUGCCCCCAACUUGGGUAUAAGCCUGGGAAACUGGGUCUAAUUCCCGAUAGGACUGCAGGGUGGUGCCUGUGGUGGAAAACGAUUUUCUAGUGGUUGGGGAUGAGCUCGCGGCCUAUCAGCUUGUUGGUGGGGUAAUGGCCUACCAAGGCGGCGACGGGUAGCCGGCCUGGGAGGGUGGACGGCCAAAUGGGGACGGGGAUACGGCCCGGACGCCGACGGGGGGAGGCGGGGGGGAAUAUUGACCAAGGGGCGGAGGCCGGAGGCAGCGCCGCCGGGGGGGGGAGGACGGCUUUGGGGUGGGAACCUCCUUUCGACGGGGAGGAAGCCCCCGGGUUGGAAGGGUGGGAACGGUGGGGGUAGAAGAAGCAUCGGCAAAUUACGG
rnacentral:rRNA from 1 species